AUUGAACGCUGGCGGCAGGCCUAACACAUGCAAGUCGGACGGUAGCACAGAGAGCUUGCUCUUGGGUGACGAGUGGCGGACGGGUGAGUAAUGUCUGGGGAUCUGCCCGAUAGAGGGGGAUAACCACUGGAAACAGUGGCUAAUACCGCAUAACGGCGCAAGACCAAAGAGGGGGAGCUUCGGGCCUCUCACUAUCGGAUGAACCCAGAUGGGAUUAGCUAGCAGGCGGGGUAAUGGCCCCCCUAAGCGACGAUCCCUAACUGGUCUGAGAGGAUGACCAGCCACACUGGAACUGAGCCACGGUCCAGACUCCUACGGGAGGCAGCAGUGGGGAAUAUUGCACAAUGGGCGCAAGCCUGAUGCAGCCAUGCCGCGUGUAUGAAGAAGGCCUUCGGGUUGUAAAGUACUUUCCGCGGGGAGGAAGGCGGUGAGGUUAAUAACCUCGCCGAUUGACGUUACCCGCAGGAGAAGCACCGGCUAACUCCGUGCCAGCAGCCGCCGUAA
rnacentral:rRNA from 1 species